UAUAUAUCUAUAAUUUUUCAUAUUAUAGAUAGAGUGCUACAUAACAUUAAUAACAGUGACAAAAUAGUUGUGUGGAAAGGAAAAUUGAAGCAAGUUUUGGACUUUCUGCCACUCAAGGGUGGAACAAAUAGCAGUUGGGAUGUAGAGAGAAGAUACUGACAAGAAUGACAGUUGGUGGGGGGAAGGGAACUUGGAAAGUGUCAGUUGGCCUAGAGAGUCUCUUUUCUGGCCCUCAGACUGGAAGGAGUUCUCUCCCUGUUUUGGGAUAGAAGUAACUCUAUUCCGGAUCUACUCAACUGUGUGCUUUACCCUGCUUCCUGUGACUGUGUCAUUGGACAAAAAGAUUUAAGGGGAGCAGUUUGAACUGCAAGGCUGGGCUUUAGGGGUGUCAGCCCAAGGAGACAGGCCCAACCAACUCUUCAAAAGAGAACUGAAGAAAAAAGGAUUCCAGAUCUGAUCUGGCCAGAGCAGAAUAUGCCAAAAAGAGCAAAAUAUACCUGAAAGAGAACCUCCUUAUAAUGGGAAGGGGAGAGGAUGAGAGAGAGAGCAAACAUGAUCCUAGUCCAUACAGGUUUGAACUACUAUGCUGGCCUGGCCCAGAAGAACUAUCCUGUCCUAUUUAAAUUCUCUGAUUUUUUACUUAAGAAACAUGGAUGUCUUUGAAGAAGGGAAUAAACUUGAUGGACUAUGAGCUAAAUGUUGGGGC
rnacentral:lncRNA from 1 species